rnacentral:rRNA from 1 species
UACGUAGGCAGCGAGCGUUGUUCGGAAUUACUGGGCGUAAAGAGUGUGUAGGCGGUGCUCUAAGUUCGGUGUGAAAUCUCCCGGCUUAACUGGGAGGGUGCGCCGGAAACUGGAGUGCUCGAGCGUGGGAGAGGAAAGCGGAAUUCCUGGUGUAGCGGUGAAAUGCGCAGAUAUCAGGAGGAAUACCGGUGGCGAAGGCGGCCCCCUGGACAAAGACUGACGCUCAGGUGCGAAAGCGUGGGGAGCAAACAGG